GGGAGAAGGGGGGUUGGGUGACGGAGGAGAAAGGGGCCAGAGGGGGUUAGGGGCGGAGGAGAGGAAGAGGAGUUAGGCAGCGGAGAGAGGAUUCGGCGGCGGGAGAGAGGAAGAGGGGGCAGAAGCCGGGGCGGGAGCGGUAGAGGGCUGCGAGGCGGUUCACCUCUUGGUCCUUCCUCCUCCCUGCACUUCACCUCUUCUCCCCCACGCUACCUCUUCCUCGGUUCGGGCGUCCUCUCGUGCCUCGCGGCCGCGCGGGACGGUCGGCGCCGACGAGCGCCUCGAGGCCGUACACGACGUGGUACCUCCGCGAGCACCUCCACGAGAGCGGAAGCCUUGGUGGAGCUAGGCGUAGACCUUGGUAGGAUGAGCAGAGGUUGAAAAGGUCGAGUGGCUACUCCUGGAGCAGAGCCGGAGGAUGGUCGGGGUAGGCCAAACUACAGCUCCUCCAAGGAUGUGGUUACCACUGUCGCCCGAGACGACGUCCUUCGUCCCAGAUUAUUACAUGUUAAAACGUCGACGACCAAAUUAACAAGUUUACCCUCGAAGCAUCCCUCUCACCUUCUAAAAACCUUACCACGCCUGUCCAACUCUCGUUAUCUACAAAAAAUUCAGGAUCUAACAAUGAUGGCUCUUACCUUAAGUUCUUCUCUAUGAAAACCACAACAGAAUAAUGGAGAGCAUAGACUAUCUAUUGUGUUUCAAUAGCCAAAUCAACCUUUUUCUUUUUCAGGUCUAGUUAACACUCCUAUACUAGUAACCGUAUGAAUGGGGGACUACUACGGAGUAAAGAAGUCUUAAACUCCAACAAGAAUUAUACGGUCCUGUUAAACUAAAACCCUCCUGUUUCCAGUCUGUUCCUACUCUUACCCUAUGGUCUAAUGUUGCUACCUCCGAGCCUGUACCUAGACGAGUACGAGAGUCGCCCUUAUGACCUACAAGAGCUUCGAAACGGUAUGUGUGCACCAUGAAAACCGUGAACGCACCCGAGGUCAAACACAGUUACGUUAACGUAGACAGUCGCCGAAUACCACUAGUCCGAACCAAUAACCGGAUGUACUUGGCACACGAUAUUACGUGGUUACGACGAAAGCCUACUGCUGCUGUUACGGUUUGCGUGGUAGUGGACUCCAGAUACGCUAACCGCCCCUACCUUGGUACUCUCCUCGUCACCGCUAUAAGCUUCUCAAAUUUGCCGUACCAACCUCCUAUAGGUAAUGUACCUAGGGUUUUUGACACCUGUAGCCGUACUAUCUGUCCAGCAAACACAAAGUUUGACGUCACCUCUAAUGAGUCGUACGUUAGUUACGCCUUGUACACCUCCGACACUCGCGACACUUACCGUAACCAGAACAGUUUGAAUGCCCUUCCUCGUGUCCUGUGUAAUGAGAAGUACGGUGGGACUCGUCGGCUCUACAACUGACGACACUUAGAACUCUAACUAAAGGUGCAACUUCCCUUCCCUUCGGACAAACUCAAGGACAUACUUUCCUAUUUCUUCUUCCCCGUACAACACCAGCAACAACGACUUCCGCGACCAGUCCUCAAUUAUGGGGUCUGACUACUGAGUUGUCUCAAUUGAAUUAGACUUGGAGGAGACAAAGACGAUAUAUAGAGAUAAAAAGACUUGAAUUGUUGGCUUGUCAUAAUAUAUAAUCUAGUCGUGUGUUCACUUGAUCUUUAGUAAAACAAGUCUAACAACCAUGGGAGUCACCUUUUAAUAAGGAAUAACCAACCCCUAAACCUCUGCAUCAUAGACCAACUACUUCCUAAAAAUAGAGGAUUCGAGGUGUGUAAGAGAAGGUAGAUUGUGUUGGCCGUGCCAGUUCACCACAUCAUCAACUGCCAGCUGUCGAUUUUAGUUCCGUGGCGGAAUUAAAUCCGCCUUUCUGGUGUCGAGAAGGUAGAUGUGGUCUUCCUAACCCUUUUAUAAUUUAAACCACAACUUCUCCACAACUAAAGAUACUACAAGGCAAGCACUUCCUACGGUUUAACGGUUACAAUAAGUACUUGAGUUCCUGAAGGCCUUUUCACGAUUACACCUAUAUGUAAAGUAAGGACUUUAGUUCUCCCGAUUAAGUUGAGGUUUGGACACCAGUUAAUAACGACGAAGCCUACCCGGUUCUAGUCCGUUCUCCUGCUACAAGACCAACAAAGCUGUCUUUUAGGAUGACCAACUUCGAGUUUCUGACUUCGGGGAUAGGGUCACAAUUUCUGAAGUUAGUUGGCAUCGAUUUCGACCUUAGUUCAUCUCGUCACCGAUGAGGCUUUUGAAACAAGACUAGUGAAGGUCGCCUCAAAAUUUUAGUUUUGCCCCGUUAAGAGAUGACACUGUUUCACUUCUCUUUUGACUACGUAGUUUGAUUAUGUCUUUAAGUCAAGUAUACUUCGUCUUCUUUCCGUAUGUUAUGGAAUGUAACUGUCACUAACAAUCGGGUAACACCAUGAAGUUUAGACUAUUUCUUAUAUAAAGUACUGACUCUGUACUGUAAACCUCUUAGAGUCAAGAUUAUAGAUGUACUUAGUUGAAAAUAAAACAGUACGAUGACUUACAAGACUAUACCCUGAUAGAUAAGACACAUAGAGAAUAUUCAUUAUUACUUUACUAGAUAUACAUUUCAAAAGGAUAAAACUAAUAUAAUACAACAGCUACUACGUACCAAGAACUUAAACCUCUAAUUGUAAAUCCGAAAACUAUAAAACUUGGAAAAACGAAACAUGAGGGA
rnacentral:rRNA from 1 species